GACAGGUGGUGCAUGGUUGUCGUCAGCUCGUGUCGUGAGAUGUUGGGUUAAGUCCCGCAACGAGCGCAACCCUUAAGCUUAGUUGCCAUCAUUAAGUUGGGCACUCUAAGUUGACUGCCGGUGACAAACCGGAGGAAGGUGGGGAUGACGUCAAAUCAUCAUGCCCCUUAUGAUUUGGGCUACACACGUGCUACAAUGGACAAUACAAAGGGCAGCGAAACCGCGAGGUCAAGCAAAUCCCAUAAAGUUGUUCUCAGUUCGGAUUGUAGUCUGCAACUCGACUACAUGAAGCUGGAAUCGCUAGUAAUCGUAGAUCAGCAUGCUACGGUGAAUACGUUCCCGGGUCUUGUACACACCGCCCGUCACACCACGAGAG
rnacentral:rRNA from 1 species